AGAGAGCUAGAGAGGUUUGACUGAAAGGUUAAGAGGAGGGGAGAGUUGAACAGUGAACACAUGUCCUCACAUGACCUUCGUGUCUUUGCCAUGUGAUAACAAGUACAACUCUCUCUUAAACAUGCGAUGAGACACUACUAAUCAUCUCUGAUUUACCAUUUGGGCAUAUAAAAAAAAAAAAUCACCAUUGGGUCACAUAAUUACAUAAAAGUUAUAACCUUCAGAGA
rnacentral:lncRNA from 1 species